UUGCUGUGAUGACAGUCUUAGGACACCUUUGGAUUAACCAUGAAAUAAAACAUAGUCUGAGCAAC
ensembl:snoRNA SNORD58 Small nucleolar RNA SNORD58